GAGGAAACAGCCGCCGUCUUGCGCCUAACGCUCACCACCGCGUGGGAAGGAAGCUCUUGAAUGUACUGUUACUGUAUUCUAUCAAAAUAUGAGUAUUCCUUUAGUUAUAACAAAUGGAUGCUGCUACCUGCUAUGUUCUUCUUGCAAAAUGAGAAUCAAAGAUUUAUUCAGUCCCA